UACGUAGGGGCCUAGCGUUGUCCGGAAUUAUUGGGCGUAAAGAGCUCGUAGGCGGUUCGGCAAGUCGGAUGUGAAAUCUCCACGCUCAACGUGGAGGGGCCAUUCGAAACUGCCGUGACUCGAGUCCGGUAGGGGAGUGUGGAAUUCCCGGUGUAGCGGUGAAAUGCGCAGAUAUCGGGAGGAACACCAGUGGCGAAGGCGGCUCACUGGCCCGGUACUGACGCUGAGGUGCGAAAGCGUGGGGAGCAAACAGGG
rnacentral:rRNA from 1 species